AUACAGUUAUUAUACGGAAAGAACAGUUUUACAACGGGGCGAGGUUGUUUCGUCAAAGAAGAGUAUUGAGGCACUUAUAAUAGCGUGGGGGGCACUCCAGUCAGCAUUCUCACUAGCAUCAUCAUCAUCAUUCGUGGAUUACGUCACUCGUAUGAUAUCACGAGAGAUAUAUGGAUAUAUAUAUAUUUACGUGCUGGUCGGCUAUUAAAAACAUUCGAGCUUGGGUAUUGUUCCUUGAGAAUUAUCGUGGAGGUACUGUUAUAAAUGUCUCGGUGCCAACUUUCACGUUUUAACAAUCGAUUUUCAUGGGUCCACGAGCAGGUUCAAACACCUUGACGAUUCUGUUUUCAUGCUGACCUAGAAUAUUCCGAGUUUUGUGUGGAUUUGAGGCGAGUUCAAUUUAGAAUGACAUUAUUGCUUAGAAAUUUCAGUGGAAAAUCUAAUAAAAAUUUUUAAAAGCCUCUUUAUGAGAUUUGUUGCACAUGAUAAAUCCCUCAGAGAACAGAUAAACAUUGGAAUUUUAGAAAACCAAAAGCAUUUGCGGUACUGAAAGACGAUAAAUUUAAGCUUGUGACUUGUUUAUAAUAAUUAGUGGCUGUGUGCAGGUUUGGAGAUAACAAAGAACUAUCAGUUCGAGUUCACCUCGUUAUCAUGAUUUGCUGCUCUUCUGAGUCUCUUGGAUGGCUGAAUUAUUUUUAUUUACCAAGGAAAACUUCACUGAGGUGGAUUUACUAAAAAGGAGUGAAAGAUGUAGAGAUCUGGGUAAUUCAAUGUUCCGGGAUUGGUGAUUGAAGUGUUCCACAUAUUGAAAAAUUGUCCAGAAAAAUCACAAAUUAGAUGGAAAAUCUCUACAUGACAUUUGCUACUUGAAGUAGUGGAGACGACAUCAAGGAGAAACUUGACAAAAAAUUAAAUCAUCAAUGUUCUCAUGUCCUCAUUUUUUUCUUAAAUAUAAAAAACUUCUGAAGAAUUCAUUAGACCGUAAAUUACCAUCGAAUCAAAUCCGAUAGAAUGCAAUCUAUAGGGACAUUAAAAAACGAUUCAAUAUUUUGGACUAAAACUACUUGCAGUGAAAUUUUAGGUUUUUCAUUCGAAGAACAUAAAUGACUACGUUUAUCUAGUAUUCCUAUAGGAUGUGUAUGAUUACCAUUAAUAUUAAUAGUAAAUAAAUAAGCGAACUCAAUCAUUAAUAACUUGAAAAGUAAAUCUGAGAAAUUGUAGGAAAAGGUAGUGGAUUACAAAUUGCCUUUAUGUACCUAUUUUUCCAAGAAAUACCUGAACCUUACGGGAUCGACCAGUGUCAUUCACAUUGUAAUUCAUAGCGUUACGCCCUCUAGGAAGGGAACGUGUAUCUCAUUGUCUUAGAAAAGGAGAAGAAUGCUAUAAACUCCUCGGUAAUCGUCAUUGGACGUGAAGUGAACGAAUGACCGGGUGCAUUAAUUUGUGACGUCACCAGUAAUUGAUCUAAAUUCAUUGCACUCAUUGCGUAGGCGCGGUCUCCAAGAAUUUUCAUUCAUGAAAUAGCGGGGCCUUCAUUGUUGAAAAAAAAAGAAUAGCUUCAGUUGUAUAUCAUUGCCGGUUGAUAAAAAAAUCUACGAUGGUGGGUAAUUAAUCAAGGGUGUGAGUGACCCCGAGAUUCUCUUUUGAUAAACUACAUUGAUGGAUAAUAGAGCGUGUGGGUGUGGAGGUUUAACACCUCAGUUAUAACUAGAAUGAUAUUUGCAGAGACUAAGCUCUGUCCCUCUAACCCAGAUAAUGUUGUAAAUAUUUGUCCAGUGUUGGAACGAAAUUUGUUUGAAUUUUUUGCGCAAUUUUUUCAGUCACGGGGAGGAGCUUUCUCAUUAUUCAAAUAUCUCGACAGAGAGUGAUCACAGAAAAAUUAGUGUCAAGUAUUUUUUGUGGACAAUUUCAACAGCUACAAACCAAGUUAUGACGAAAAUUUCGCUAUUUCUAAUACAUUCCGAGAUAUUUAAAAAAAACAAUGUCAACAUCCAUAUUUAGAAAACCGGAUGAAUCGACUUUCUCUCAAGUUUCAUUUUUGUUGAACAUCUCUGAAAGGAAUGGAGAUAACGAGAUUGUCACCAAUAAUUUUUUUGUGGGAAAUUUUCUCACCUAGAAAAAGGGUCUAGGGGAAAAUUUCGCUCUCUCCCCCCAAUUUGAAGAUAUUCUCAAAAAACCAAAAUAUGAAUUCGAAGAACAUAAAAAUUAUGGCGAUUGAUAAACCUGACAUCCCGACCAAAAGUCCGCUUCCUCUGUUCUGGAGUAUCAAGGUGAUACAAGACACACGCACACAGUUACCCACGACUAUUGAUUUUUCAGUGCAGUCAAUGCGGCGCCGUACAACACACAUAACCAGCGAUGAAAAAAACCAAAUCCCCCAACACUGUGUACGUAUUUACCGGCAUUCAAAGAGACCUCAACUUCAUUCCCUGCUGUCAUCACAUACACCUGCCGCACACUGCUUCCGCUCGACUGUUUUUUUAAACCAUUUUUAAUCGUCAAUGUAACGGACGGUGGAAAUACUUUGGUAAUGGUCUGGCUGAAGGGGCCAGAACAAUGAGGAAAUUCAUAAAUCAUGACCGAAAGCACAUGUCCAUAAAAAUUGUCACAAGGAAUUAUUUAGUUGAAAUUAGUUAAAAAAUAAAAGUGAAUCCAAUUUAAAGCAGGAAUUGAAGUUAAUGAGAUCUAUGAAAGUAGAAGACGAGUGAAAAUUCAAGUAGAAUGAAUUAUUUAAUUGCAGACACGAAUCAGAAUUGAUAAUUAGUGGUUGGGACGUUGCGAUAUAUAUUUUUAGUGUAGAUGGAGAUGAUGGGGCGAAUUAUUAACUGAUUGCUGGCAUGGUCAUUACGUAGACGUUAAAGAGCCAGGUGGCAUAGAGAUUAUGGUUAUAUGACAAACUACAAUGUUCACGCAAUAAAAAAAAUCUCACUAUGAAAUUAAUUUACAAAACGUCAAUCAAGUAGAUAGGCAAUAAUCAUCUGAAUUGUGGAUUUCUCAAUCACUGAGUGAAAUGGUAUUGGAGCACGGUUUAGGGGUCAUUAACCGAAUCCGUUGGCUCCUUGAACGAUGAAGAAGGAGAACAAGAGGAGGGUAAAGGGUCGCCUCAGACUGAGGCAUUCGGCUGACCUUCUUGGCCCAAGGCAACGCCCCCAAUUACAAUUUUUAACUCGAUCAAAGUACACGAUACGAAAUUAAAGCGAUACUCGAAGGAGAAUGAAUUUGAAUGGAAAAAAAAAUUGGAGAAAGAAAUUAAUCGUGAGGGACACAGACAAAUCGCCCUUUUGUACACGUAACAGACACCUACGUCACGUCCGCAUUUGCGUUAAUCUAACGGCUCGGAAGUUAGUCUGCUCCAGUGGUUGUUGAGAAUUAAGUGAAAAUAAGAAUGAACUAAAUCCUGGAUUAAUAUUGUGUCAUUAACAACGAGAAAUAGAACUGAAUUUUAUAAAUGAACCGGAAGUAGAGGGUGGGGUAAGGCUUAAAAAUUGUAUGGAAAGUGAUUAAAAAAAUGGAGGAGAAAUAAAUGACGUUAUUUUUAUGAUUUUUAUUUUCGACCUGCGAGAAACUUGAAAAUGUAACGGCCACUGUUUCGUUUUUCCGUUAUCAACAACAUAAAUUAACCAUAGGAAUUAAAUUAACUCGUUGCCCUCAAUAUUUCCCAGUGGCUCAUGUCAGAGGACAUUUCACCAAGACCUUGAAAUAAAAAAAAU